UCACUGUUGCAGCCAGGGACUUCCAUGAGCGCCUACAGACUCUCAACAAAGCAGAUCCUCUGCAGGUUCGCAUCAUGAAUGAUCAGCUCAUGUAUCUGGAGAGAGCCUUCAUAGACCCCCUGGGCUUACCUGGCAGACCCUUCUACAGGCAUGUUAUUUUCGCUCCCAGCAGCCAUAAUAAAUACGCAGGAGAGUCUUUCCCCGGGAUCUUUGAUGCAUUGUUUGACAUCGAGAACUCAGCCAAUCCACAGAAGGCCUGGGAGGAAG